GAAUUGAUUCAGCAUGACCAGCAAAUAUGGUUGUCGUAUCCCACCACCAAACUGAAAAAUUCGUCUUUAAGUUGUUCCUGAAGCACUAUCAUCAGCUUCAUAAUGGGUUGGUUCCGAAAUCUUAUGUUCAAGAUACCUGGCUGGCACGGGGUGUUCGGCAACUGGGUGCCCACGGCCGCUUUGGUAUGCGGUGGAAUAGUUUGCUCCAAUUGUACUACAUGUUUUGGAUAGACAGACCACUGUAUGAAGAUUUUGCCGAUUUCGAAUUGCUUUACGGAAGAUACAUUUGUGAGUAUUAAAGUUUUCUAAUGGAAGUGCAGCUUUCGAUGAUCCAUAAGCUUACGAUCUAGUAGGAUGUGAAUAGAUUUUAGAAAUUAAUCCUCGGGCCGAAUUUUGAAUUUUAUAAGCUACUUAUUCCAUCUUUUGUUUGUUCACUCGAGAAACGUCAUUGUUUUCAAAUCCGAAGUACUAAUUUUUUAAGGUCCAUGCAGUUUUUGGCAUGAACAUAAGUCAAAAAGUAUACAAAAUUUCAAGUUUUGCAGAUAAGUGGAAAAAUAAACUUGGGGCCUAUUCAGAAUCGUUCGUUUGAAUGAAAUGCUGUCGCAAGAACAGGUGAAUUGCAUACGGUUAAGGGAAGUCUUUUUUUCCUAAAACAUGUCCUUAAACGUGUUUCUUUAUUUUCCAGUCCCGUCGUGGGUGUGGCUUGUCUCUCUGGCUCUAGACACUUUACUCGGUAUUAAGGCAAUAUGGCUCAUCAUAUCCAUGUGGAAGUGUUCGGAGAAGGGGGUCCGGAACUUUGUUUUCGUUCAUCUGAGUGUCUACUUGUACCACCUCAUCCACUGGGUCUGGUUUGUCAUCGGAUGGGCCACAAAAGAAAACAAAACUCUCGAUGGAACCAAAGCAAGUUCGGAAAACCGUCGCUUGAUCGCAUGAACAUCAUGCUCCUGGUAUGGUUAGUGCUCCAUGCAAUCUCCUUCACAAUAAUCAACACUUUUUACGCCCUCAUGGCUGGACCCGCUGUCUUACCCGUGCGUUCGGAGACCUCGUCGGAUGAAGUAAUGAACGAACAGAAUAGAGUCAACAGAAUGAUUGACAAGCUCAUGUUGCGAAGCGAGUCUAAGGAAAGAAAGUCGAACCGAAAAUCGAAGAGCACGACGAGGUAUAAGAGCGAUGACUCAUCGGAUGCUUCGACGAUCAACGAGUCGAGGAAGAGGAGGUCACGAUCGCUUAGCGAGGUCACCGUCGAACCGGUCCACGGAAAGUCGCGAGGGAGCAAGUCGAAGACCAGACGGGAGGAGUGUCCGACGGAACGAAGGAUGGCUGAAGUGUCAAAAAAGUUGGAGGAAGAAGCGCACAAGAGGUCAAGGUCCACGACGGCCGAGUCUCUGGCACAUGGUGAAAUGCGAGGGAAAAAGAUGCGGAAUACUUCUCAGGAGCGGAAGAAAGGUCACAAGACGGAGAGUAAAGCACACGGGUCCUCGGUUUCGUUUGAAAAUACGCCGAGGAUAAGGUCUCCUGAUAGGGAGGAGGGACGAUCAAGGAGAAGUGUUACAGUCGCACUGGUCAAUGAAGCAACGAGCAAGUCCGUCAGCCAAGCCGGAGGCCCGAGAAAGAAAGGAGGUAGGUCAACCAGACAGUCAGCAAACAAGGAAGAAAGUAGAUCCAGUCAAAGAGGCAAGACACAUGGCCAAGAAACGAGGGUAACAGUAAGUAAGGAAGGAGUCACAUCCAGUCAAAGAAGCAAGUCAAAGAGUCUGGUUGGUAAGAAAGAGACGAGGUUAACAAUCGGAGGAGGCCAAGAGGGAGGAAUAAGGUUUGAUCCGGGACGCGAGCCAGGGAAAUCAACUUUAGCAUCGGAGAUAAUUAGGACUUAUUCGCAAGGCUCGGUGGGGCGUUUGGAUGCAACCGCGACUAAAGGAAACAGUGGCUCGACAGAAAUGCUUAAACGGAGACUCAAAGACAUGGACCGGCAUUUGAACCUCGUGCCCAUCAAAUUGCAGAAUAAAACCAGCGAAAGGACAAUUGCCGGUGCGUUGCUCAAAGCGAAGAGGGCAGCUUUUCGGAAACCUUGGCAGUCUGACGUUUCAAGAGGAAUGGGUGUAGAGGGCGCGAAUAAAUCAACAGCUUUGGAGUCUUUUAAAAUGAAGCUGCAGGCAGCAUUAAGAGACUCGGUUGAUAGUAUACAGCGAUUAGGAUAUAGAGACACGUCCAAGCAAUGUCAAGAAGUACCGCAGAACAGUGAAACUUGUAUACAGAAUCAGAAGACUCCAGAGAGUAGAGGAUCAUGUAUGCAGGAUCCGGGGAUUUCACAAAGGACAGGAACGUGCGUAGAGGAUUGUGAAACUCUACACAGUGGAGAAAUGCCGGUAAGGGAUCGGGAAGCUUCAGAGAGACAGAACCUUGAAGCUUUGAAGAGUUUUGUAACGUCGACUCAGAACCGGGUUGCGGCCGGAAAAUCAAGAAGAUCGACGAUGGAUCCCCGUCAUUCCCCAAUCAUGCCUGACAUACAUGAUAUGGAUGCAAUCACAUCAGAGAUCGAAGCCCUCAAGUCAAAACUGAAAUUAACAAUCCAGAGCUCUGAGGAGGCUAUCACCCGAUUAGUAAUCGAUAGGGCUGCAAUGCUGACAGAUAAGAACAGAUCGCGAUGUAGAACUGCGCAACCAGUAAAAUCAACAGAACAACCAACACGCUCUCCAUCGGAUCCCUCCUUGUUAAAGAGCAAUUCCAAAAGUAGUAAAACCAUUAACGCUAUGCGAAUAGCAACCUGUGACAAUCAAGUGUUGGAUACCGUGUCGAAUACACCGCUUAGUAACGGUAAAUUGAGUCAACCCUUAACGCAAAUGUCCAAUGCUACACUUUCUGCCUACGCUUUAUCGAAUGGACAAACAUUAGAUUCUGAUUUGGACCCGUUGAAAAGCAGAAACGCCGCAGGUAGGUCCAGGAGCAAAUCGAUGAAUCCAGAUCCAUCAGUGUUCAGAAUAUACUCGUCAGUAGAUGCAGUUCUAAGUAAACCGAAAACAGGAUUAGAUUGCCUAUUCGACUGCAGACCAAAGAAUAGCUGCGGACAUGACAGCAAACCAAAGGGAAAUGCACCAAGGGCAGCGGAAGAAAUUGCGCCCGAUAAGGAAGAGAAAACCAUGACCAGAAUAAUUGCAACGAAACCAUCGUCAUCGGAUACUGAGCCACGUCAAAGCCGAUCUGACGCUGAGCCAAGUGCAAGUCGACCACAUGCUAUGCCUCGUCAGGGUCGAUCUGUCGAUAAAUUACAUCAAUGUAAGUCUGCCUCAUCCAAUGCUUCGGAAGGUCCAGCUAUUGAGGAUACAGAUACAGCCGUGGAUAGGGAGAAGCAGAGAGUGAACAAAGCUAAGCGUUGUGCCUCCGUCGCACGAGAAAAAGGAGGAGCCUCCUCGCCCAAGAGGAAAAGAGCUUCGUCUGAGCCUUCAACUCGCAAACAUCGAUCAAAGGCGAAAAAGAAUUCGUCAUCGAGGAAAACAUCUACCGAUAAAGAAACAAAGACUCGCCGGCACGGACCAAAAGGUAGAGUCUUCGGUCCAUCGGUGAAGAAGAAUAAGCCAGUUCCGCGGACUAAAACUGUGCCAUCCACAGCAAGGACUAAGAAACUGCUAUCGGGCACUCAUUUUCUAGGGAUUAGAUCGAAAAAAGCAAAGGAUGCAUCCUCAGAUUCAACGGUUGAUAGCAUAUGGGAUUUUACACCCAGGAGGAGCGUAGCCAAUAUGUUUAGUGCAAAAAGAUCAAAUGCCCAAUUAAAACGUGAUCCGUCCAGAGCAUCGAUGCAUAGGGAGGCGAAAACAGCGGCUCAUACUUCCGACAGCGACAUAAGUGAUGAAAAAGAUAGAGUGGCAGCAGGAAGAUCUAAAAGCAGAGCCUCAGCGUCAACGGUAUCAUCAAGGAGUGAUUCGGAGACAUCAGCAAGUUUGAGGUCAACGUCAGUGAGGUCAGAAGAUUCAUUCAAAUCCACACCAUCAGACGAUAGUAUCCGUAGAACUAAUUCCAAGUCCCCAGUAAGACAACGCUCAACGUCAUCGAGAGAAACUAUAACUGAGACCUCCGGCUCUUCAUACGAAAGGAAGGUGGACUCAACCUCAGGUUCAUCAGUAGAUUCGUCGAUAAGUAGAGGAAACCUUUUCUCGGACGAUCAAAUGAUCGACUCUCAAACAUGCGUGUGCUCACGACGCUGCACUGUAGAAAAGUGCUCGCAGACGGAUUUGACGGGUUCACAAAUCGAAGUUAAAAAGACACUCUCAACUUGCAGAUCAAGGGAUGCUCUGAUGGCCUUGACGGAUAGAAAGCAUACGCCAAGCAGAUCAUCGUGUUUGUCGGUAGAUAAUGUUGUUUCGGAGACAUCCAAUAAGUUGCUAGACUCAGCUAUAUGUUUAGCAACACUUACAUCACAGAUGAAGCGAAUGAGUAGAUGUGAAAAAACUUGUUGCAGGCCGUCCAAGUGUAAACGUUCAAGUUCGUCUAGAUGCACGCCCAAGUCUCCGCGUAAGUGUUCAUCUAAGUGUCCAUCUAAGUAUUCGUCCAAGUGUUCUAGUGAGAGUUCUCCAGAAUGCCCGCCCACGUGUUCAUCUAAGUGCGCAACACUGAAGAAAAGGGCGACUGGGCCAGUCAGAGAAUCGAAAUUACAAGCGCCGUGCAGAAAGAUGGGCGCCUUGAGGUAUGAACCUAAUAACCAAUCAGCGUUUAGCAUGAUGGAUGGAGUUGACUGUGGGGCUGCAAAAGCACCAAUGACUUGUCCCGUGAAUGCAGAGCCACGCAGAACGACAAGUCUGUUCAUGCGUGACCCAGCAUGUGCGCCGCAAGAAUGCAUCCCCAUAUCAGAGUAUCAACUCCCUUCGCGUCAACUCCCGCCGUGUCACGUCCCUCCGUGGCAACUCCCUCCGUGUCAACUCCCGCCGUGUCAAUAUUUCCCGUAUCAGGAGACGCGCCUGCCGCUGAAUCAAGUAACGUUCGAACGACAAUACGGAGCACUGCCCUCUAAGGAGGAUGGUUUCACUCUUCGUGAAGCCAGUUCUUCUGAAAGCUAGCCUGCUCGCAGCUCAAUGAAAGGCAGUGCAGUCAUUACGGGGAAGUGAACAAGUGCCCUUUUCAUCUGGAUGAUACGCCAACAUACAUUAUACGCCCGAUUGAAUUGAUCCAAAAGAUAAAAUUGGUUGGGUUGCGUUCCAUAAAUUUCCUGUAAUAUUUUUUUAAAAUCGAUCCAAAAAAUCGAUCGGUGAUUUAAAAAAAGUAAGUGCAUUUUCCAAAACGCCAUCUAACCAAUUUUAUCAUUUUUCAACCUAUUUCUUGUAUAUAUGCUUUUGUGUUUUUAAUGCUGGAAAAGUAAACAGUAUUACUCGUCUUUUAAAUUGCCUUAAUUAAAUCCGAAGGAUCGAUAAAGUGGCCUUGACUAAAAUCAGCCCAACUGCAUUUAGCCUUUGUCACACUAUCAAAAUACUCCAUCAAAAUGUCAAGGUCAGGGGUUG
rnacentral:lncRNA from 1 species